GCCAGGCAUGGUGGCACAUGCCUGUAAUCCCAGCUACUUGGGAGGCUGAGUCAGGAGAAUCGCUUGAACCCGGGAGGUGGAGGGGGCAGUGAGUCGAGAUGGCACCACUGCACUCCAGCCCGGGCUACAGAGUGAGACCCUGUCUCAA
rnacentral:SRP_RNA from 1 species